UUACGAACAGAUGACAACGGCUGGUACAUCAAAGAGCAUAGGAUGGCACACAACCACUCUUUGACUCCAAGGUGUAGACAGAAGGUACUCUGGCCAUCCCACAAACAUCUAGAUCUGAACACAAAGGACUUGGUACGUCAGCUGAGGGGGGACGACACAUACAUCAGCAAAGUUGACGACACUAUAUGAAGUUUCUCCGGAACCAGGGAGAAUGUGCCAUGUACUAAUUGUAUGUUUAGGAACCUGCGUAGUCAAAGUAGCAUAGAUCAAGCAGAUGAUGAAGUUAGGAAGACAAUUGAAGUCUUUGCAGACAUAGGAGCUAAGAAUCCGGAUUUCAUGUUUGUGGUGCAAGAAGAUACCGAGAGUCAGAUAAAGAACCUCAUGUGGACCAAUGGGCGGAGCAGAAUGAAGUACAAGUACUUUGGAGAUGUUAUCACGUUCGACACCACUUACAGAAGUAACUUGUACGACAUGUCAUUUGGACUAUUUAUAGGCGUGAACGACCACUUUCAGAGCAUCAUCUUGGCUGGAGUGUUGCUUAGAGACGAGCAGGUAGAGAGCUUUGAAUGGGUUUUCACGGAAUUCAUAAGAAUGAUGGGUGGUGAAGCACCAAAGACAAUUCUGACAGAUCAGAAUCAAGCAAUGGAGGUGGCCAUAAAGGAUGUGAUGCCAAACACAGCCCACCGAUGGUGCAAAUGGCACAUCUUGAAGAAAGCAGAAGAGUGCCUUGGACCCCUAUACACAAAACGGAAUGGUUUCCGAGCAGAAUUCCAUAAGGUCAUCAACCACACAGUCACAAUAGAUGAUUUUGAGCCAGCAUGGGGGAUGUUGAUUCACAAGUACAACUUAAGGUCACAUCCGCACAUGACACAACUUUACGAAACCAGGAAAAAAUGGGUAAAGCCAUAUUUCAAGGGGGUGUUUUGUGCCAAGAUGAUGAGUACUCAAAGGAGCGAGACUGCCAACAGUUUGCUGAAGAAAUAUGUACCACCUGCAUGUCCGAUGCAUAUGUUCGUGAAGCAAUACAUGCACUUGAAGUUUGACCAGGACACAAACGAAGCCUAUGAAGAGAAAUGGACCCUGAUUGUAAGAAACUAUAUUUCUCAUAAGAUAUAA
rnacentral:rRNA from 1 species